rnacentral:rRNA from 1 species
GAUGAACGCUGGCGGCAUGCCUAACACAUGCAAGUCGAGCGAACAGACGAGGAGCUUGCUUGGCUGACGCUAGCGGCGGGCGGGUGAGUACCACGUGGAUACCCUACCUAUAAGGCUGGGAUCACUUCGGGAACCCGGAGCUAAUACCCGAUAUGAUAUUGAACCGCAGGGUUCUAUAGUGAAAGACGGUUUUGCUGUCCCUUAUAGAGAGAUCCGCGUCGCAUUAGCUAGUUGGUACGGUAACGGCUUACCAAGGCAACGAUGCGUAGCCGACCUGAGAGGGUGAUCGGCCACACUGGAACUGAGACACGGUCCAGACUCCUACGGGAGGCAGCAGUAGGGAAUCUUCGGCAAUGGGCGAAAGCCUGACGGAGCAACGCCGCGUGUGUGAUGAAGGUCUUCGGAUCGUAAAGCUCUGUUAGUAGGGAAGAACAACUGUGUAAGUAACUAUUCACGUCUUGACGGUACCAAAUCAGAAAGCCCCGGCUAACUACGUG